rnacentral:rRNA from 1 species
ACGAAGGGGGCUAGCGUUGUUCGGAAUUACUGGGCGUAAAGCGCGCGCAGGCGGUCUUUCAAGUCAGUGGUGAAAGCCUGGAGCUCAACUCCAGAACUGCCAUUGAAACUGCAAGACUUGAGUACGAGAGAGGUGGGUGGAAUUCCCAGUGUAGAGGUGACAUUCGUAGAUAUUGGGAAGAACACCGGUGGCGAAGGCGGCUCACUGGCUCGUAACUGACGCUCAGGCGCGACAGCGUGGGGAUCAAACAGGA